UACGAAGGGGGCUAGCGUUGCUCGGAUUGACUGGGCGUAAAGGGCUCGUAGGCGGUUCGUUCAGUCAGACGUGAAAUUCCUGGGCUCAACCUGGGGGCUGCGUUUGAUACGUGCGGACUUGAGUGCGGAAGAGGGUCGUGGAAUUCCCAGUGUAGAGGUGAAAUUCGUAGAUAUUGGGAAGAACACCGGUGGCGAAGGCGGCGACCUGGUCCGAUACUGACGCUGAGGCGCGAAAGCGUGGGGAGCAAACAGG
rnacentral:rRNA from 1 species